GAUGAACGCUGGCGGCGUGCCUAACACAUGCAAGUCGAGCGAGAUUUAGUGGAGUGCGGACUUCGGUCCAAGUGAAGCUGAUGGAAGCGGCGGACGGGCGAGUAACGCGUGGGCAACCUGCCCCAUACAAAGGGAUAGCCACUGGAAACGGUGAUUAAUACCUUAUAAGGCGGUAGUUUCGCAUGAAACAGCCGACAAAGAUUUAUCGGUAUGGGAUGGGCCCGCGUUUGAUUAGCUAGUUGGUGAGGUAACGGCUCACCAAGGCGACGAUCAAUAGCCGACCUGAAAGGAUGAUCGGCCACACUGAAACUGAGACACGGUCCAGACUCCUACGGGAGGCAGCAGUGGGGAAUAUUGCACAAUGGGCGCAAGCCUGAUGCAGCAACGCCGCGUGAGUGAUGAAGGCCUUCGGGUCGUAAAACUCUGUCCUAUGGGAAGAAUAAAAUGACGGUACCAUAGGAGGAAGCCCCGGCUAACUACGUGCCAGCAGCCGCGGUAAGAC
rnacentral:rRNA from 1 species